rnacentral:misc_RNA from 1 species
GAAAUGCGAUAAGUAAUGUGAAUUGCAGAAUUCCGUGAAUCAUCGAAUCUUUGAACGCACAUUGCGCCCUCUGGUAUUCCGGGGGCAUGCCUGUCCGAGCGUCAUUGCGAACCCCUCAAGCACGGCUUGUGUGAUGGGCCCUCCCGCGUCUUGGUCGUCAAGACGGGCCCGAAAUGCAGUGGUGGCUUCGCGGUUAUCCGAUCAUCCAGAGCGUAUGGGGACUCUCUCUCUUGUCACACGCCCGCGGCGCGGACCGACGCCUGUCGACCUUUAUUCAUCUUCUCUCGGUUGACCUCGGAUCAGGUAGGGAUACCCGCUGAACUUAAGC